rnacentral:rRNA from 1 species
GUGGGAAUCUGCCUUUUGGUUUGGAAUAACACGAGGAAACUUGUGCUAAUACCGGAUAAGCCCUUACGGGGAAAGUUUUAACGCCGAAAGAUGAGCCUGCACUUGAUUAGCUAGUUGGUAAGGUAAAAGCUUACCAAGGCAACGAUCAAUAGCUGUUCUUAGAGGAAGACCAGCCACAUUGGGACUGAGACACGGCCCAGACUCCUACGGGAGGCAGCAGUGGGGAAUCUUGCACAAUGGGGGAAACCCUGAUGCAGCGAUGCCGCGUGAGUGAAGAAGGCCCUUGGGUUGUAAAACUCUUUCGUCAGGGAAGAAAAUGACUGUACCUGAAUAAGAAG